ACUUUUACAUUCAGAAUUUUUAAUUGGAAACUUUGAUGUCCCUUCAAAUGACUGUAUUUUAUUUUACAACUAAGCCUAAAAAGUCUUCAUUUCUGUGCAUGCAUUUAAAACGUGUUAAUUCUAUAUUCGGUUAUAUUUUUUAUGAUGUCUAAUGUUUUUAGUAACCUCUAUGACAAUUAUUCAUUGCGAUAACUAUUUAAUUUCUUUAGUAUGUUGUGUUUAUAAAUUACAUUGGGUAGUAAGUAGGUAAUUUAUGCUGAACACGGUUUAUGUGAUUAUUGUUUUUAUUUUGUUACAAUAGCAGUAUAAAUGUCUUAUUCAUACAUCUCUUUUUUAUCUUUCAAGUUUUACUUUUAAUGUUUUGAAUCAUAACUCUUAUUAAUCGAUCUAGUUUUUGUCAAAACAAAAUUUCUAUUAAGUUUGCCUAUUUUUUAGUAUAAUAUUUUUCUUAUGUGAUUAUAAGCGGGAUAUUUCCUUAAUGUAUAGCAUUUAUAGUUAAAGUAUGUGUAAUUACUCAAUUCGAAAACGGCCUUGAGGUUUUCUAAAGUGUUAACUUUAUAGUUGAGUCUUCCAUGAUUAAUAUUGAUGUGUCGUUAAUGAUUAAUAUUGAUGUUGGUUUACAAUAUUAGUAAUAUUGACCAAUUUUUGGGGAUUUGAAUACAAGUACCAGUUCGCUUUUUGCAUCAAGCUAUUAGAAGAGGUAGGAGCCUGAAUCUUGUCAAAUACUGAAGAAGCAAUGAAUAUUACAAUUGAUGUGUGCCUGCUGUUACAUUAUUAUUACCUAAUAUUUUAUAGGAAGCACAUUGAUAGCUCGAUGUAACUGAAAAGUUUUGCAAGAAUUGAAUAGUUAAUAUGUUUACUUGAGUUCUAUAUAAACUGUUUCCAGUCAAAAAAAAAGCAUUAGAGAGUAUCAAUUCCAGACUAGCCCUUGUGAUGAAAUCUGGAAAGUAUGUUCUAGGAAACAA